rnacentral:rRNA from 1 species
GACGAACGCUGGCGGCGCGCUUAACACAUGCAAGUCGAGCGAUGAAAUUUCGACAGAUCCCUUCGGGGUGAAGAUGAAAUGGAUUAGCGGCGGACGGGUGAGUAACACGUGAGUAACCUGCCUUUGACAUUGGGAUAGCCUCGGGAAACUGGGAUUAAUACCAAAUGACACUAACUGAUCACAUGAUCAAUUAGUAAAAGAAAUUCGGUCAAAGAUGGACUCGCGGCUGAUUAGCUAGUUGGUGAGGAAACGGCCCACCAAGGCGACGAUCAGUAGCCGGCCUGAGAGGGUGAUCGGCCACAUUGGAACUGAGACACGGUCCAAACUCCUACGGGAGGCAGAAGUGGGGAAUAUUGCACAAGGGGGGAAACCCUGAUGCAGCGACGCCGCGUGAGCGAAGAAGGCCUUCGGGUCGUAAAGCUCUUUUAUGAGGGAAGAUAAUGACGGUACCUCAAGAAAAAGCCCCGGCUAACUACGUG